rnacentral:rRNA from 1 species
CACGUAGGGGGCAAGCGUUGUCCGGAUUUAUUGGGCGUAAAGAGCUCGUAGGUAGCUCGAUAAGUCGGGUGUUAAACCCCCAGGCUCAACCUGGGGCGCCACUCGAUACUGUCGUGGCUAGAGUCCGGUAGGGGAGCGUGGAAUUCCUGGUGUAGCGGUGAAAUGCGCAGAUAUCAGGAGGAACACCGGUGGCGAAGGCGGCAUCCUGGACCGGUAUUGACGCUGAGGCGCGAAAGCUAGGGUAGCAAACGGG